rnacentral:rRNA from 1 species
UACGGAGGGGGCUAGCGUUGUUCGGAAUUACUGGGCGUAAAGCGCACGUAGGCGGCUUUGUAAGUUAGCGGUGAAAGCCCAGGGCUUAACCCUGGAAUUGCCUUUAAGACUGCAUCGCUAGAAUCGUGGAGAGGUAAGUGGAAUUCCGAGUGUAGAGGUGAAAUUCGUAGAUAUCGAGAGGAACACCGGUGGCGAAGGCGGCCAACUGGACGAAUACUGACGCUGAGACACGAAAGCGUGGGGAGCAAACAGG